rnacentral:rRNA from 1 species
UACAGGGGGUGCAAACGUUGCUCGGAAUCAUUGGGCGUAAAGCGCACGUAGGCGGUUCGUUAUGUCGGAUGUGAAAGCCCUUGGCUUAACCGAGGAAGUGCAUCCGAAACUGGCGAGCUAGAGUACUAAAGAGGAUCGCGGAAUUCCCGGUGUAGAGGUGAAAUUCGUAGAUAUCGGGAGGAACACCGGUGGCGAAAGCGGCUCACUGGACCAUAACUGACGCUGAUGCACGAAAGCUAGGGGAGCAAACAGG